rnacentral:snoRNA from 1 species
UCUCUUCUUAGAACACUCCCUGAGUCUGACUAGUGGCCUAGGGAGCUGUCAGUGAAGAGCAUAGCAAAGGGCCAUUACUUUAUAUGGCAGCAGGGUGGACUGUUGGUCUUACUGGUAGAAAAGACCAGA